AGUACACAUGCAUGCUAUCAAAUUACAGCUGCUGUGUAUAGAGCAGUGUUUAGCUAUAUAUACGUAUUCAUAAACUCCUGACGUAGCUAUAUAGACUGUUAAAGCUUUACAACAGCUAAAACUAAAGUAUACGAAGGAGGAUAGAAGACAGUAUGGCUGACCCAACAGAAUACCAAGUUCCACAACUAGACCAAGAGAAGGCAAUGGAUCAGUACCCACCAGAGACAGACAAGCAGCCCCUUAUAAGAGCAGAGCUACCAAGGCCAAUGCUAGCUCCUGAAGUGCACCCCCAGCCAAGGCCAAUGCUAGCACCUGAAGUGCACCCCCAGCCAAGAUCACUGACCCCCCAGCAGUACCCCCCACAGUAUGGACAAGGCCCAUUCGGGACUAUGAAUAUUCGUCUAGGAAACCACUGGCAGGCAAGGCAAACUAACCUACAACCGACAAGUCGUAUCCACCUACACAAUUUUCCAGCUUGGAUUGGGUCAGAUGAGCUUGUUUAUAUCUCCGUAUUCACCAUGAUUUUUUGCGGAAUUGUGCCUAGAUUUGUGGCCUUGCUGCUCGCUCAUGGGGCUCGCAAACUGAGGAGGGCUGGACAAAUUGAUAAGGCCAGAUUAUGGACCAAGGACGCUAUUUCCUGCAAUGUACUCACUAUUGUACUGGGUGUGUUUGUCAUAGUUAUCCCUAUUGCAAUACAUGCACAUACAUAAUUAUAUAACUGUUGUAAAGUAACUUAGCUGUCAGAACCAUCAGUAAAGUUUGUAUUGAACCUUGUAAGUAUAAUUAUUUGCAUUGAGAACGGCCUUCAUAAUGUUGCCAUAACUUUGUUAUAGUUUACUCCAUUUCAAAAUGUCAUAUACCAUUGGAUUCCUUAAUUGUUAAAAUGCACUUCAAUCUA